GGUAACGUGAUGGAACUGGUAUACAUGACAGACUUAAAAUCUGUUGCUAAAAUCGGCAUGAGGGUUCGAAUCCCUCCGUUACUA
rnacentral:tRNA from 1 species